rnacentral:rRNA from 1 species
AGAGUUUGAUCCUGGCUCAGGACGAACGCUGGCGGCACGCCUAACACAUGCAAGUCGAACGGAGAUAAAGACUUCGGUUUUUAUCUUAGUGGCGGACGGGUGAGUAACACGUGAGCAACCUGCCUCUGAGAGAGGGAUAGCUUCUGGAAACGGAUGGUAAUACCUCAUAAUAUAGCGGUACCGCAUGAUACUGCUAUCAAAGAUUUAUCGCUCAGAGAUGGGCUCGCGUCUGAUUAGCUAGAUGGUGAGGUAACGGCUCACCAUGGCGACGAUCAGUAGCCGGACUGAGAGGUUGAACGGCCACAUUGGGACUGAGACACGGCCCAAACUCCUACGGGAGGCAGCAGUGGGGAAUAUUGCACAAUGGGCGCAAGCCUGAUGCAGCGACGCCGCGUGAGGGAUGGAGGCCUUCGGGUUGUAAAGCUCUGUCUUUGGGGACGAUAAUGAGUGUACCUUUCGAAUAAGCACCGGCUAACUACGUGCCAGCAGCCGCGGUAAUACGUAGGUGGCAAGCGUUGUCCGGAAUUAUUGGGCGUAAAGGGAGCGUAGGCGGAUUUUUAAGUGGGAUGUUAAAAGUUCGGGGCUUAACCCCGUGAUGGGAUGGAAACUGCCAAUCUAGAGUAUCGGAGAGGAAAGUGGAAUUCCUAGUGUAGCGGUGAAAUGCGUAGAUAUUAGGAAGAACACCAGUGGCGAAGGCGACUUUCUGGACUGUAACUGACGCUGAGGCGCGAAAGCGUGGGGAGCGAACAGGAUUAGAUACCCUGGUAGUCCACGCCGUAAACGGUGGAUGCUGGAUGUGGGGCCCGUUCCACGGGUUCCGUGUCGGAGCUAACGCGUUAAGCAUCCCGCCUGGGGAGUACGGCCGCAAGGCUAAAACUCAAAGAAAUUGACGGGGGCCCGCACAAGCGGUGGAGCAUGUGGUUUAAUUCGAUGCAACGCGAAGAACCUUACCUGGGCUUGACAUGUUCCCGACGAUCCCAGAGAUGGGGUUUCCCUUCGGGGCGGGUUCACAGGUGGUGCAUGGUCGUCGUCAGCUCGUGUCGGGGGAUGUAGGGUUAAGUCCCGCAACGAGCGCAACCCUCGCCCUGUGUUGCCAGCACGUCAUGGUGGGAACUCACGGGGGACCGCCGGGGUCAACUCGGAGGAAGGUGGGGAUGACGUCAGAUCAUCAUGCCCCUUACGUCCAGGGCUUCACGCAUGCUACAAUGGCCGGUACAACGGGAUGCGACAUGGCGACAUGGAGCGGAUCCCUGAAAACCGGUCUCAGUUCGGAUUGGAGUCUGCAACCCGACUCCAUGAAGGCGGAGUCGCUAGUAAUCGCGGAUCAGCAACGCCGCGGUGAAUGCGUUCCCGGGCCUUGCACACACCGCCCGUCA